rnacentral:rRNA from 1 species
CUUACGGCCAGGGCUACACACGUGCUACAAUGGUCGGUACAAAGGGUUGCCAAGCCGCGAGGUGGAGCUAAUCCCAUAAAACCGAUCGUAGUCCGGAUCGCAGUCUGCAACUCGACUGCGUGAAGUCGGAAUCGCUAGUAAUCGUGAAUCAGAAUGUCACGGUGAAUACGUUCCCGGGCCUUGUACACACCGCCCGUCACACCAUGGGAGUGGGUUGCUCCAGAAGUAGCUAGUCUAACCGCAAGGGGGACGGUUACCACGGAGUGAUUCAUGACUGGGGUGAAGUCGUAACAAGGUAGCCGUAGGGGAACCUGCGGCUGGAUCACCUCCUUA